GAUCUGGCUUCAAAGAGUUGCUCCCAACUUCUCAAAAAGCUGAUCCAGCUUCUUCUGUCUCUAGGAGGCUUCACUGAGACCCCAAAGCAGGACCUGUCGAGUCGAGUUUCUAUGUAUAUGUAAUGGUGGGUCUCCGCUGGGGUUUCUGCUUUGGAUUCAUUUAGUGAAGUGACCCUGUCUUGAAUGUCUCCUUCCUGAGUGGUCCUGGCCAGCCCAUGUAGUGUAGAGGACUCCAUCCAUGAUAAUGGGCUGGAAUGAUUUAGCUGUGGACCAUGAGACCAGGGAGGCUGAGGAGUGUUUUGUGUCAGAGUGUCACAGUAUGUUUUACUCCCGCCUGGCCUGUUCUCUCUCAGGGAGGAAGAAUACCCUGGAAAAGUACAUGAGACAGAUGACCUGUUUCUCAGAGAGCACCAGCUAGAAGGGACCUAUGCAUUCUAAGGAGGAAGCAGGUUAGAGGACCAGGCUGCUACCCCUCCCUCCAUGACUCACUACAGAUGGCUUCAGGGCUCUGUGGAGUGAGUACCUAGCUAACUCUCCCCACUUGAGCUAAAGCAUCUCCGUGGCGAUGUUUUUGUACCAUUUUCUCUGUAAGUUUUCACGCCCUUGCUAUGUCUACUUCAGGGACUACAGUAAUUGCGGACAUCAUUGUCUGAUGGUGAAUAGACAGGAUGUGGAAGGUAUCAGCAUGUGACAAGAUGGAAGAUGUCUCUAGAGAUGGACUGGAUGUGGCGCGGGUUUCUGAGGAAGGAAGCUAGCCUAAGGAGAGACCUAGAUCAGCACUAACAUGAGGACCAGCCUCAGCAUCUAAAACUCCUACUGGAACCUGGACCCAGAUAUGAGGAGACAUGAGGGCCAUUCAUUCACCCAUCUAGUCCAUGAGUGCUGUUCUUGGUAGACGGUAGCAAGAGACAGGAGCUGAUGGUGUGGCCCUUACAAAGGGAGAACAUUCAGCACUCACCCACAUCUGGGAAUGGUGCCUCCUGUCCAGAUAUAUAGCCAAGACACCAAGGGCAAGGACAUUCUGGUUCCGUUCUGAGACAAUGACUGGCACACAGUAGGGCCCUGAAACAGGCCAGCUGACUGUCAGGGGCAUGAGGCAAAAGGGAAGCGACUGCUGCUUGCUACUACCACAUCCAGUGGCCAAGCUGUUUGGAUGGAAAGAGGAAUCAUGAAGCCUCCACCAACAAGUGGGCAGCCAGAGGCACACACGUCUUGCUCAAGAAAAACAACUUUGUCAUCAUGUCUUGCCCUUGAAAAUACCCCUGUACAGCCAGAGAACCAAGAGCCAGGCACAUGCCCAUGGGAUCUGAUGGUCUAUGGUCUGUUCUUAUCAUCCUGAGCAGAAAGUCAUCAGGUGAGAGCCAGUCUUAAGACUUGGCUUACCCAUUCAAAUGAUCUGUGCAGAACCAAUUCUGUUUUCAUCCUAACAACAAGGUAUUUAUUUCUUUUCAAGGAUCUUAAGUGAAGCCUAGCUUCUCAGUUGUUCCCACAACCCGUUACUGGAAUUCCCUAAUUUCUAUUCCCCGAGACAAGAAUAAUUGAAUACAGGGCUUUGUUGGUCUUUGGCAAACACACUUAGAAUCACUGCUGCCUUUGGCAGGAUAAGGGCAAGGUAGACAGGUAACCAACCGUAAGAAAUUCCAAUAAAAGUUCUGAUUAAAGGUAA
rnacentral:sRNA from 1 species